rnacentral:rRNA from 1 species
UACGUAGGGGGCAAGCGUUGUCCGGAAUCAUUGGGCGUAAAGCGCGUGUAGUCGGUCCGGAAAGUCUGGUGUGAAAACUUGAGGCUCAACCUCAAGCUGUCACUGGAUACUGUCGGACUUGAGUCUGGAAGAAGAGAGUGGAAUUCCUGGUGUAGCGGUGGAAUGCGCAGAUAUCAGGAGGAACACCAAUGGCGAAGGCAGCUCUCUGGUACAUGACUGACGCUGAGACGCGAAAGCGUGGGUAGCAAACAGG